UCACGCGGCGGCCGCAGUCGGUCCUCUCAAACCGCGAAAUACAUUCCGGCUCCCUCGAGGAAGAACAUCCUGGGGGUGGGUUAACUCGCGUUUUCGCGUUGUCUCGUGUAUGUGUCUCGUGCUCGGUUCUCUUUCAUUUUUUCACAAAUUUCUAAACCAAUCCUUGUUUUUUCCCCUCCUGCUGAUCGCAUACCAUGGCGUCUUUGAUAAAAAUUUGACGAAUGAAACACGUACGAAAGUACGAAUAGAACACGAAAGAGAAGAGUUACUGAUAAGAAGAUCUUUUCAAGUGUUUCUUGAUUUAAACGGAUUGGAAAGACCGUGUUUACGCGCGACGUUACGUUCAACGUGUCUCGCUCGAAACAUUCCUGUCAAAAAAAAAAAAAAAAAUACUUGUCACGGUUUUUCAUAAAAUUUAAUACGAUGCAUCUUGCAGUUAAAGUUGACGUUUAAUAUGAUUCGUACGACGUUGAGAGUUAGGUAUAGUUAUAAGUUGAAACACGUGAAAUAGUCAAUCAGUGGAAUAGUAGCAAGUAAUCAAAAGUGGUUUUGAGAAAGAAGAGCAAUUUGUCUAAUAAUAAAAGUGCAAAGUCUCUUUGAAGAUUUCGUAUCUUUGAUAAUGCGCGCGCGCGUGCACGUCCGCGAUCUUCAGUAAUAAUUUGAUCGUCGAGAAAAAAAGAAGAAAUUAGAUCUAGUGGUGACAAUUCGUGGAGAAAGUUGCUUGAUAUUUUCGCGGAAGGCUAAACGUCCGGACGUCCUCUUUACAAGUUGGAAAGGGGGCUUGUCAGUUCUCGUAAAGAGCAGUUAAGAAAUCUUUUUAUAACGUGUUCAUAACGUGAACGUGCAUCCGAUGAUCUAAGCUACGAUGUGAACUUUGAAUUUUUUAUUUUUAUUCCUUGACGAUACAACUACCAUCCGUUUCCUCGAAUGGUUUUCGUUUCCGUCGCUCUUUCAUUAAUUCCAGCAAAAUGGCCGAAAGGCACCGCGAUUCAAAUCUCGAAUUCACUCGUAUAUUCUCCUCGUUCUUUGCUUGCGUAUGGUUUUCUGUUCGUAUUUAGCAAAUAUAUAUAUAUAUGGGUGUAUAUAUAUAUAUAUGCAUGCAUGUAUGUAUGCGUGUGCGUGCGUGUGUGCGUGUGCGUGCGUAUUAUAUUUACAUAAUAUCGAUCGAAAGAAUAUUUUAAUAAUUCAAUAUAAAAAUGUUAAUCCAUUUAACUUGAAAAGAAACUGAACUCAUUUAAAUUUCCAAGUAUUCCUUUAAAGAUCCAGCAUUUGCAAAUUUCUUGAAGAAAUUAUAGAACGAAACGACGAAAGUAUUUUUUGUGUCCGAUUUGACGGUGUACCGUGCUUCUCUGUGUUGUUCAGGGAGAGGAUGCGACUUUAGAUCGGGCAAGUGUGAGAAGAAAGAAAAACGGCGAAAAGAAACGAGAAAGGAAAGGAAGAAGAAAAAGUGGAAGAGGAGGAGGAGGAGGAAGAAAUUAGAAAACGCGAACGAGCUAGGAAUUCGAUCGAUUAUCGUUCGGUUCGCUUCGCGAUUUUUGAAGAAAAAAUUUUUAAAGUGCUCGAGACUCGACUCGCGUAUUUUUAUGAGUCACGAGUAUAUAUGUAUACGUAUAUAUACGGAUAUAUUAUGUUCGCCGUCUGUCUAUAUAUAUAUAUGUAUAUAUACAUAUAUAUUAUAUAUAUACCUAUAUAGAAGUUAUAUAGUUUUUAUCGAGAUUUCUCGCAUACAGGGAGAAUCAAAGAUUUAAUUUUACAUUUUCCUUUUCUUUUGCCUUAAGUACGGACAUAUUCUUUUGAAUAUUAUCGUUACCAUGGGGGAAAAUACGCUCACAUAGAUGUAGAUCUACGUGUUAAUUAAGAUAAUCAAAAAUAAGAAAAUGCACUCGCGUCCAUUCCUACGGAGAAAAAAUCUUCGCUUCUUAGUCCGACAUUUAUUCGGCGCGGAGCAAUUAAAUUGGACGGUAUUAUCUUCUCGUUUAAUCGUGCAUCUCUAAUUAAGCCUUUGGGCGCACGCGCAUAUAUGUACACUCGUUGAUAAAGAGACCCUCUCUACUAGAAAUUACGAAAACCCAACGAAAAAUUUUCUAACAUCGUCAUCGUCGACAACACUUUCGGCCUUCGACGCAACGAUUCCGACAAAUUUCGACCGAGAGAGAGAGAGAGAGAGAAAUAGAGAGAGAAAUAGAGAGAGAGAAAUAGAGAGAGAGAGAGAGAGAGAGAGAGAAAGAGAGAGAGAGAGGGAGACGGAAAGAGAGAGAGAGAGAGAGAGAGAGAGAGAGAGAGAGGGAAAAAGGGAAAGAGAGAGAAAGAGAGAGAGGCAUCGAUGGAACACACUCUCGUAGAGCAAAUAACGAUUGCUUUGAUCCUUAGUCCAAAAGUUAAUCGGCAGGUUAUCGUCGAGCGUUCGUUCUCGAUCUUACUAGGAAGAUAAAGGAAGUGGAAAGGAUUCUAAGCAUAUCUCGUCAAAGAUGAGAAAGCGGACGACGAGAUCGACAAGAAGAGGGAAGAAAGUAAGGACGGCGAUCCCGACGACCUGACGCUCGUAGCCGAGACGCUCGACGAAGGCUGACGGAUCUGGAGGAGAAUCAGGAGGAAGCCGUGGAGGAACCGAAAGAUGAACGAGAGCGAGAUUUAUCUGCUCGAGUGGGAAGAAGAGGCAGAAGCUAGGGAACCUAGCGGCGAACUCAAUAGAAGUUUUUACAACGCUAGUCGUGGCAAUCGCAGCUACGAAGAUUUCUGGGAAUUAGCAAGCGAUCGUGCUGGACUCGCGGUGGUUCUCUUUCUCUUCUCCGUGGCGACAGUUUUCGGUAACAGCCUCGUAAUCCUUGCUGUCAUCAGAGAAAGAUACCUUCACACGGCGACCAAUUAUUUCGUUACGUCGUUGGCCUUUGCCGAUUGCCUCGUAGGCCUGGUCGUCAUGCCGUUCAGCGCGAUUUACGAAGUUCUCGAGAAUCGAUGGCUUUUCACGACCGACUGGUGCGACGUUUGGCGUUCUCUCGACGUACUCUUCUCGACGGCCUCGAUCUUGAACCUCUGCGUGAUCAGUUUGGAUCGUUACUGGGCCAUCACCGAUCCGUUUACCUAUCCAAUGAGGAUGAGUAGAAAACGCGCGGCGAUAUUGAUCGCGAUCGUUUGGAUUUGUUCAAGCGCGAUAUCUUUCCCAGCUAUAGCUUGGUGGAGAGCAGUCAGAACGGAGGAAGUACCGGAGGACAAGUGUCCCUUCACCGAACAUCUCGGUUACUUGAUAUUCUCCUCGACGAUUAGCUUUUAUUUACCGCUCUUCGUUAUGGUCUUCACCUAUUAUAGGAUCUAUCGAGCCGCGGUGAUACAAACGAGGAGUCUCAAGUUGGGGACGAAACAAGUGAUGAUGGCCUCCGGCGAGCUGGAACUUACUCUUAGGAUACAUCGUGGUGGUGGUGGUGGUGGUGGUGGUGGUAGUGGUGGCGGCGGUGGCAGCGGCGGCGGCGGUGGUGGUGUUAGCACUGGCGGAGCAAGUACGAACGUGGAUCCGAGGCAUCUCUUUCGUACGGCUUCGAGCACGCCGGAAGAUCUACAAGAUCUCGAGGAACCUCUUACGGCUCUUCACAAUAAUGGAUUAACCAGAGUACCUUCCACGAGGAUCAACAACAAGCAACAUCUCGGCAAAAACUUUUCCUUGUCACGCAAACUCGCUAAAUUUGCGAAGGAAAAGAAAGCCGCGAAGACUCUUGGCAUCGUCAUGGGAGUCUUUAUCGUUUGCUGGUUACCCUUCUUCGUGGUGAAUCUAUGGUCGGGUUUCUGCGCCAGGUGUAUCUGGCAAGAGGAGAUUGUUUCUGCUGCCGUCACGUGGCUCGGUUGGAUCAACAGCGGCAUGAACCCAGUUAUAUACGCUUGCUGGAGCAGGGAUUUUCGGAGAGCUUUCGUACGGAUAUUGUGCGUAUGUUGUCCAAGACGAAUGAGGAGGAGAUAUCAGCCAGCGUUCCGGUGUAAACCUAGUCAGAGAUUCUCAUCCGGAAGGUACUAUUCUGCUUACUCGCUCCACCACAUGCGAAGAAGCCGAGAGAAUUCGGGUGAACAAACCUACAUUUAACGACGGGAUAUCGACGCGACACGAUCGUCGAAAGUCGUCGAAUUCCUCGAGUACCUACGCCUGCAUUAUAUCAAGCCCUCUCCGUUCCAACCAAUACGGAAUAGUACGGCGUCGUCGGUACGCGAACGUUUAAAUAAUAAUUCGAAUAAGAAACGUCUCGUCGAACAUGAAAGACGGAAUCGGGCGCUUUUCGUAUUCAUAUCUACGAAAAAUCGAAUUCAUUUAGAAACAAUAAAGAUGCGCGCGGUAAUAUCAUUUCACAGUAGUGUCUCACUUCUCUUGGUGUUACGUUUUUUUCACCGAUCGGUGAAAAAAUCUUGUAUCGUUGCAAACGCUCUUUUGGACGCUUAAGUGGUCGGAACGUCAACGUGUGUGUCUUUAAAGUUUUGCUAUCGAUUAGAUCGAAGAUUAUUUAGUAAAAGUAAGAAGAAGAAAGCACACUAAAACGUAUGUGUAUAUAUGUAUGUAUUGUCGCGAAUGUCAGAGUAUUUCGAGAACGUUUGCUUUUAAUUAAUCGAUAAUAUUAAUGGCACUACGAUCACAAAACGAUGCGUUUUCCACAUAUCCGAUGAAAAUCCUGCCCAAGUAAAUCGUUUCUUAACUGACCCCUGACCCCUACUACCCACGCCUUUUGACCAGUUAACCGAAUCGCUCAAUGGAGGAGACUUGUCGCCAACCCCGUAGAAACAAAAAACCUCGUGCGUUUCCGGAAUGGGAACGAGCGGACAGACAAGUAGCGUUAGUUAUAGCAGCGUUAGUCAAAGCAGCGAUGGUGGUGUCUGCAUGUCUGGAAGUGGUCUACCUAAUACUGGCGGAAUGUGACGUCACCCAGGGGCCCGUUCGGGGCCACGACGAGAAAGAGCGAUACGUUUCCGUGAUGCGUGAUACUUCUGGUCACUCGUAUAGACAGAUCUAAACAUAUACAUAUGUAUAACGUGCGUUAAGGAUCUUACAAAAAACAAAAAAAAAAUGAUCAGCUAGGUGGGACGUACGACGAGGAAAGGGAACAAGAUCUCACUAUGCUGCGUCCGAAAGAUGUACAGCAAAUUGCGUUCAUAUAUAACUAUAGGUAUACACAUACAUAAAUUAGUAUAUUAACGAUUUAUGCAAAGUUCACAUUAUCUUUUUGAUUAAUACUUUUUCUCCAUUUCACUUUCUCUCGCCUGCUUUAGUUUCUACAUUUUCUUGCAUCUACUCAACGUAAUAAGUUCAUGCAAAGCUGACAACAGACCCGUUUUAAAUGUCGCGAUAUAAAAAGCAAUGAAAAUAAAAGAACGUGAGUUAAGGAGACACUCCAAAGGAAAGAACUUUUCGUUUGCUUCUUGCUUUCUUACGUAUUUCUCACUUUUCUCUCUCUAUCUCUCUUUAUCUCCCUUUUUCCUCAAGUAUCGUUAAAUAUUUACGCAGUAGAUAAUUGUUACGCUACGUUUAAAAAUCUUAAGAUCAGUAUUAAAAGCCCAAAGUCGGUAGCAUCAGGAAGAAUCAUUCAUUUACAAAUUACGAUCUCUUCGCCGUUCACGAGCGGUUGAAAAAUUCACGAUUAAGUAUAUAUUAUACAUUUCUCUAAAUCUAUAAUGAACAUAAUAAUCAUCAUUGCAUACGCAUUGACACGCAUCUGUAUAUACAAGCAGAUAUAUUCGGAGCGAAUCUAAUACAUAUAAUCAAUAUAAUAUGUAUUAUCAUGUGCUACGUAAUGCACAAUUAGAAAGCAAUUUUUGAUAUCCAAAAAAAAUGAACGGUUCUCUAGAGCUUUGGAUACUUUUUACGUAAAAAAUUUUUGAGACACGCGAUACAAAAGGAAAAAAAAAUAAAAAAGAAACAAAUAUCUCGACUAUUUUAGUCCAAAGACUCGUAAAUUUUUGUCUCUUUCAUAUCCCUUACAAUUAAACAUGUAAAAAAUGAAAUUUCACGUCAGCGAUUUCCGAGACGAGAAAUAAAAGAAAUAUAGAAAAUAAAGUGAGACUUCUUAAUCGAUGAAAUGCAAGACCUACAAAAAUAAUUAGUUUAGAAAUUUAUAAAUAACCAUUUGCUCUACUUGCAUAUCUGAAGUAGAAUAGAAAUAUUCGGAUGCAAAGGUAUGUGUGAAAGUGAGGAUGAAUUCAGGUGAUACCUUAGUAUCCGAAUAUUUUUCUCCGAGUCACUGUAAACGUGUCAGGUCUUUGGAGUGUGUCCUUCGUCGAAUCAUUCCUCUCUAACUCCUGAUUUUACGACUAAUCUUCGUACAUGGUACAACGUCCGGCAAAAUCUAUGAACGAAAAUCAAAGACGUCAGACGAAAUUAACCGUUUAACUGUUACGAGAUAUAAAGGUAUAAAACAGGAGAAAUAAUUACUUUGAAUGACGUUAUUUAUCUAUUCUAAUUAAAAAAGAAAGAUAUUAUGUAUAUCAUCAAAUGAAGUCCACGAGAUUAAGUUUUGUCGUAAAUUGAUUUCAGGAUUGCGACAAGAAGCAGCUCAUAGAUUUCUCAUAACGUGUUAGGGGAAAAAAAAAAAAAAAAUAUUCGAUCAAGAAAAAACUCUAAGAGAUUCACGUAUCUCGGAUAAUAUUACACGAAAUAUUUCUAGUCACAUGAAAAAAGAAUAAAUUAUAAAAGACUGCAACGUGUACCUUUAUAAAUUAUACAAUCAUAAUGCUAUUACAAUUAGUUUUCUUGAAUGUUACAAUCUAUAAUCUCCAUGCAAGUCUGUAAAUACUCCACUAUUUAUUUAAGGUAAAUUGUAAUAGAUCAUUUGGAAUGUAUGUAAUAAAUUAUACAUAAAUUAACGCGAAAAUGAUAAGUGGAAGAACUUAACGUGACUGAAAAUUAAUAAAUGAAAUAAAAAGCCAAAAACCACCAAAAAGCACAACCUUCCAUUACACUUGCUUUAAAACAGACGAUAAAAACAAUUACGAGACAAAACCCAUUCAAAGUCUUCCUCGAUUUGGCAAACUACGGGCGAUUAUAUGUACGUAAUUAUAUAAUUUUAUUGCAGAUUGUUCCAUCGGUAUUAUCUCAAAGUUCCUUUUUGUUUUAAUCAAUUAGAAACAAAAUUUAAUUUAAUUUUUUCAUUUAAAAUAGAAUUAAUAUAUAUAUAGAUAUAGAUAUAUAAAAUCACCCGUAUGAAUGUAAUUGCCGAUGUCGUAAUCUUGGAUCAGUAUUGUCGUGCAUUUCAGUUAUUUCGUGUUCAUCGUUAAACAAAAACAACUAUAAACAGUGUUUAUCUAUUUUUCAUAUAUCACCAAAAAUGUGAUCUGAUAACCGGUAUCCAAGUUAUGAAAUCUGACAAAAGCACAAUUAUUAUAAUUACGACUCUUUUACUACUAAAUUAAGAGAAAAAAAAAAAUCUGUAUUGCCAUCGACACAAGUAAUAACGUGUCAUUAUUUUCAACUUAAAAAUGUUAACAAUAAAAAACUAAACUAAACUAAACGUUAUACUGUCGUGGUCAACAGAACUGGAAUAAAAGAUCAAUUGCUGACAGUUCUGACAAUGUAAAAUUGUAAACAGUCAUAAAUUAUGUACAAUAGAAUACUUUUUACCUUGGAAACCACGGCGUUUCCUUGGCUGUAAAUAUCCUAUAGAUAGUGGGAGGAACGAAAAAUAUUAUAACUUAAAUUUCUAAGCGACUGGCACAUAAUCGAAAAAAAAAAAAAAAAUAGAAUCGCUAUGACUCACGAGCAAGAACCGUGUUGGUAAGACCACUUAAGUACCUCUAAAAGAAAAUGUCUCUAAUAUGCUGUCCUUUAUAAUAAAUACAUAUAUGCAGUUAUUAACCAAA